rnacentral:rRNA from 1 species
UGGCGACCGGUGCACGGGUGAGUAACGCGUAUGCAACCUGCCCGAUACCGGGGUAUAGCCCAUGGAAACGUGGAUUAACACCCCAUAGUACUUUUAUCCUGCCUGGGAUGUGAGUUAAAUGUUCAAGGUAUCGGAUGGGCAUGCGUCCUAUUAGUUAGUUGGCGGGGUAACAGCCCACCAAGACGAUGAUAGGUAGGGGUUCUGAGAGGAAGGUCCCCCACAUUGGAACUGAGACACGGUCCAA